UUCUAGGGCCACAUCACACUGAACACUCCCCAAUGCAUCAGAUCUCAUCUGACCUCUGAAGCUAAGGAGGGUUGAACCUGGUUGGGACUUAUAUAGGAGAACGCAUGGGAAUACUGGGUGCUGUAGGCU
rfam:Callithrix jacchus chromosome 6, whole genome shotgun sequence